UACGUAGGUGGCAAGCGUUGUCCGGAUUUAUUGGGUUUAAAGGGUGCGUAGGCGGCAUUUUAAGUCAGUGGUGAAAUACUUCAGCUCAACUGAGAGGUGCCAUUGAUACUGGGAUGCUUGAGUACUGAUGAGGUAGGCGGAAUGGACGGUGUAGCGGUGAAAUGCUUAGAUAUCGUCCAGAACACCGAUAGCGAAGGCAGCUUACUAAGGAGUAACUGACGCUGAGGCACGAAAGUGUGGGGAUCAAACAGG
rnacentral:rRNA from 1 species